CAGAACCACUCUCGACAACUCAAUUACAGUACAAUACGCGGGUCUCCUUCAUCAGCUCAUAAUGAAAGCAAAAAGCACAGUGAGAGAUAUCGAUCCCCAGAAUGAGCUAACCUUUUUCAGGAUUAGAUCAAAGAAACAUGAAAUCAUGGUUGCCCCAGAUAAGGAAUAUCUUCUGAUCGUUAUCCAAAAUCCUUGCGAAUAGACCAACCACACCUAUUUUAUGGGAAUUGUGCUACAGUUUUAAAAUAACAUUUACUACAUAUGUCAUAGCAUACAACUAAGAAACUUUUCCAGUAACUUGCCAGGAAGUUUGCAAGCUAAAAUCUCUCAUGUGCGCAAAUGCAUUGCAUUUGUAACUGAAUUAAUGAAAAUGUGUGUCUAACUGCUUAAAGAACAAUAAACUUAAAUGCUUAAGGCAUGUGUUAACAUUGA